rnacentral:lncRNA from 1 species
CGCGGAUAACAGAUUAUAAUAGCUUUGAAACAAUGAUAAUGAAAGUUUUCUCAUCGUUCUAAAUUUAUGCUACAGUUAUGGUCGUAAAAGAUUAAGAAAAAUCUUAUGGGUGCAAUUAUUCCACUGACACCUGCGAAAUUACCAAAAGAACUGACCAUCGCUGUUUAUUGUAUUUUUUUAAAUGUUCUAGUUAAACAAUCUAACACUUAA